ACUAACUAUGAAAAUACACGAAAACAAGCUAACUAAGUCGCAUAAAUAUGCUCAUAUAUGAGAGAGAAACCCCACUCCGUGAUAUCGUAAUCCACAAGGUUGGAAAAUAAAUUGUUGAUGCACUAUAAAACAAAAACAAAAUUACCAGUGAAUAGAGAACUGUCUUGGGUUGAAUCAUGGACAAGGCCGCUUUCUUUAAGACAUUCCAUGGCUCCGCCCAACGUGUGCAACAAACAACACGUCAUCCCAGUAUAAAACAGCCCAGAAUCCUUAUGUCUAGACCCUUCCUUGCAUUGAGGAAGAUCCGAAUACUAUUGCCCUUUAGUUGCUCAUAAUACUCAAGUGUUUAUAACUUCAGGUUUCACUUUUUGCUUCUUAGACUAAUGAAAGACCAUAAUAUUUAUAAUAGAAAAACUAAAGGUUAACGUUGAAGAGGCUAAGGAAAGAGUGGCCAAAGAAUCAGGCCAAAAAAUAAGGAACUGAUCACCUAGUUGAGAAAGACUAGGUCUUUUCUUUUAUCAUCAAAACAAAAUCUGUUUGGUUGAAAAGCAGUGGUCUUCCACGAAAAUAGGAGAGAUACGUUUGUGAUUAAAAACAAUAACUAGGUCUUUAAAAUAAACAAAGUUCCCACAGAAACAAAUGUAAAGGUGAUUACAACUCAGUCGAUCGAAUCAGUAAGUUGUUAGAUGAUGUUCUUGUUACUAUGUUGUCUCGUGUGCUCAGAAUUGUGUUAUAUUUGUCCCGCUCUUGAAGGACUGGCAGUGGGUUACGCAAUCAAAAAGUUGAGUAGUUUAGGAAUUGUCGGCCCCUCAAUUGCUUUGAAGUAUCUAUCUAUAGAAUCUUGUUUUGGCCUCAAAACCAUUGAGAUUUGUGAUGGAUCUGGACAAUCCUAUUUGGUCAAAUACCUAGCAACAAACUCCUAUUUGUUGUGACAUAUGUUCUAAUACAUAUUGUGAUGUGUAAAUCCUAAGUAGAGAUAGAAUAGGAAUCCUUUGGGAUCUAGAAAAUCUUUCCUAAUAGACUUUGUAUUACUUGGAGAGUAAGUUUCUCUCCUCCUUAUUUCUAUAAAUAAAGGCACAAAAACUGGGGAAUUAACACACAAUUCCUCAAGUCUAUUCUCCAUCUUUAUCUCUCUUCCCUUUGCCGCACCCCUCAGUUAAAUAUAGGUCCCAACACGUUAUCACCACAUACUUCACGCUGUGCUCAAGAGAAUUUAUUCGUAUUCAAUCAGGGGAGUAUUACGUUUCGAUUAUUUUUAAUUGAUUAAAUUUUGAUUUUCUUGAAUUCAUACUUUUAUUGAUUCAAUUUACUUUUUUUCUUAUGUUGAACGUGAUACAAGCUUGAAGAUGAAACCCAAAAUUGAAGAAAGAAUUUUUUGCAUCAAACCAAUUCAACAAUAUCAUCACACAAUCAGGUUCUUCCCAAACAACGGUUUUUAUCUCGAUAUUUUUGCAGCCCUAAUAGUAUGAACAUUCACCAUAAUGCAUGACCCAACUUUACGUUUUUCGAAUUUUAGACUCUACAUAAAUUGUGUAUACAUUAUAAUCAUAAUCCUAUUAAAUUAUGUGAAUUGAUAUUGCAUGAAAUUAUAUAUGCAUAAUUGAAUUUUGAGGAAAAAAAAAGAAAAAUAUAAAUUAGGGUUUGAAACCUUUCCUAUUGAGCGAGCCACAACCGUCAAGCUGCCGAGCCCAGGAUGCCAAGCCAACAGCCUGAGCCAUUGAAGCUAACCCAACCAGUGAGCCAAGCCAUGAAACGAAUGUUCCAGGCCUGAAUCCAGACCUGACACCAUGAAUGGUGUCGCCAUCACUAAAACCACGACCAAGUUUGGCCUACAACCACCCUACCACCAUGGGUCAACAUCCCCGACGACCUGAAUAUCAUCUCCGACGGGUUAUUUGUCGAGAUUCUUUGGAAUCUCACUAGGUUUUGAUAUCUUGAUUUCGAACUCAUGUUUUUUUUGGCUCUUGGGCGUUGUGAGUAACCCUCUCCGUCACUUAUGUGUGGCCAUCCGUUGGAACUAGACUUUCCCAGCAACGUUAGGGUGUUCUUUGGUCCAGUACGAGCCCAAAUUGGGCUUUGUUUUUCCUUCGGCCCACAUCUAUAACCAUCUGGGCUUACAGCCCUUACCCCUCGCUCAGCCCACAUGACAUCAACCCAAUUGGGCUCUAGUGUUCCCAUGAACACAGCGCAGGAGAACCCAGCCCGCGUGGCUAUUGAGGACUCCUUGCAUAGCAGCACACUAGAUCCCAGCCUUUGUGCUAGUGUAUCCAUGUCCGUGAUACACAGGAUCACACCCUAUUUAGGCCUUGCCAUCUGGGCCUACGUUUGCAGCCCAUAUCUAUGCACAUGGCCAAGCCUUUCCUACCCAAUUUUUUGGGCUUGGAUCUUAUUCACGUUUUUUUUUAAAGCCUAUUCGGGCUUUGGUCCAAUACCUUGGGCCACCAAUUAUAUUGCCUAUUUUUUUAGGCUGUAUGGGUUUUAAUUUUUUUUCCGUGACUUGUAAUUUUGGCCCGAAGAUCAAAUAAUUAUAUUAUAAAAUUCUAUACAUAUUUGCAUACUUUCUUGUUACAUAUUUUUGUAUAUUUGGUGCUUGUUUGCAGGUAUUAUGAAAUUGAAGUUCAUACUUCUGAACCUGAAGUUUCGGAAAAGUGCCAUAGAAACCUGAAGUUUCUUAACACGUAACACUCAUGUUGAGACCCGAAGUUCUCCAUGCUUAAAUCUGUUUAAACCAAACCAUGUCCUGGAACCUGAAUGUUCUAACGUUGAUGUUUAUGGAAAUUUUAUUUCCUAAAACACCAAUCACAUUCUUGUUUCCGCCACUCAGCGUAUUAUCGAACCGUAACAAGUUCGAUUUCACUGAUUUGGAAGUUUCGAACAAGAAACUAGUUUAUGUAGAUACAAGACGUGCCCCCCCCCCCCCGCUUGACUAUGACUAGUUGUGAAAUCAAUAUAGCUAGUUAUGGUGUGGAAGAGCUGAAUAAGAUUUUGCCAUGAUCAUCAUUCGAAGACUUAUGCCUGAAGCAUAUCAAAUAGAAGUAUCUCACUGCUGAGGACUCCAUGGCUCUUUGACUCACUAUAUACCCUUUUAUAUCAUGCAAAGAUAAAUUCUUGCCUGAAGCAAAACAUGAUUGAAACCUUUACGUCCAUGAAUAAGUACAAUUCUGAAGUUUAUAUCCGAUCAAAUUUUGAUUAGAAGGAAAUCUUUCUUAUCCUUCUAUAUCUAAAUUGGUCAUGAAGUAGGAGUAUAAAAAGCGGAAGUUUACCCAAUUCUCAGAUCUAAUUACUACGACACUGGUGAGAGAAAGGUACCUUAGCAAUUCAGCUGGGAGCUACUUAACAGUAUAGACCACGUUUCGGCUGGAGUCUACUGAAUGGUGGGUCUUUCUUCGGCAGGGAUGCACCGAAGGGCAUGCUCUGCUUUGGCAGAGGUGCACUAGACGAUAUUGCUCUGCUUCGACAGAGGCUACUGAACAGACCCCUUUAGCUUUGGCUGAAGACUACUGAACCUAAAGUCUAGGUCUGUCUUUCUCUCACAAUCCUAUUUUUGAGUUUGUUUUACAACAUAUGGUAGAAUCAGGCCUGCCAAAAGGUGGUAUCGCGCUCAAAGCCUGAUCCUUGGCACCUAAAACUUCAAGAAUAAGGGAUAGUAUUCAUGAACCUCAACCCUGCAGAAUCUAAACUAGUUUUGACAUAAUAUAUCAUUGGUUAUGCACUUGUAUAUGCCUCUGCCAAUGUUUUUUAGGAGUACCAUUCUCGUAGUUAAUCUAUGAGACUAAUUUUAUGAUAGGAGCAUAUUUAUGCGACUUAGUUGGCUUGUUCUUGUGCAUUUAUGUCGUGUUUCCUUAGUUAUUUUAAUGUUUAAAGUCAUUUUCGUGUGUUUUCAGAUUUUAUGGACAAAGUAGGCAAGAAGAUGCAUUUUGGAGCAAAAUGGAGCUUGGAAUGCAUGUCACAUAUUUGGGCCAAAGUGGAUGGACGAAUUUGAGAACUAAAGAGGCCAAGAAUGUGAAGAAUUAUGGUCCAAAAGAUGAAGAACUCAGCCCAAAAAUUUGUCACCCCAACUUGCCUUCAUUGCCAUGCAAAACAACAUAGAAUUCCCUUUGGAUUCCCAUGCCAUGCUUGAUCACUCUUGUCCCCUACAUAAUUUCUGAUUUCAUGCUUCAAUUCAUCUAAUUAUUACACUUAAUUUCUUGAUACCUCUUGUUCCCUUCACCCACAAAAUUUUAUACAACUUUCACAACCAUAACAUGCACCAAUUGAUGCUCCAUCAUUCACAUUUGGAAUCCCAUGCCUUGUGUACCACAUGUUGUUGCACCUUUGACCCAUUUAUUGACACAUUUUCACCUCCCUUUCCAUCUCUAUGCAAUGUACACAAUCAUUCAUGUUCCCUAGCUACAAAACCACUCCAUUUUACCCUUCACACUUUGCAUCAUCACUUCAUUUUCACCCUUGGACCAUUGCACACCACAUACACUCUUUGCCGUGCAUUCUCCCUAGCCUAACCUAAUUCUCUAAGGUUUUUGGGGCCUAUAUAUACAUGUUUACACCCCUUGGCAAAGGGUUCACACUCUCAUAUUC
rnacentral:lncRNA from 1 species